UCGCGUAUUUAAGUCGUCUGC
rnacentral:siRNA from 1 species